CGUGGGUGGAGUGAGUGGCGAACGGGUGAGUAACACGUGAGUAACCUCGCCCCUUCUUUGGGAUAACGCCCGGAAACGGGUGCUAAUACUGGAUAUUCACUUGCCUUCGCAUGGGGGUUGGUGGAAAGGGUUUUUUCUGGUGGGGGAUGGGCUCGCGGCCUAUCAGCUUGUUGGUGGGGUGAUGGCCUACCAAGGCUUUGACGGGUAGCCGGCCUGAGAGGGUGACCGGUCACAUUGGGACUGAGAUACGGCCCAG
rnacentral:rRNA from 1 species